AACGAACGCUGGCGGCAGGCUUAACACAUGCAAGUCGAACGGCUGUAGCAAUACAGCAGUGGCGCACGGGUGAGUAACACGUGGAUAUCUGCCUUUUGGUUCGGAAUAACCCUGGGAAACUAGGGCUAAUACCGGAUGGUUCCUACGGGAUAAAGAUUUAUCGCCAAAAGAUGAGUCCGCGUACGAUUAGCUAGUUGGUGAGGUAAUGGCUCACCAAGGCGACGAUCGUUAGCUGGUCUGAGAGGAUGAUCAGCCACACUGGGACUGAGACACGGCCCAGACUCCUACGGGAGGCAGCAGUGGGGAAUCUUAGACAAUGGGGGCAACCCUGAUCUAGCCAUGCCGCGUGAGUGAUGAAGGCCCUAGGGUUGUAAAGCUCUUUCAGCUGGGAAGAUAAUGACGGUACCAGCAGAAGAAGCCCCGGCUAACUCCGUGCCAGCCGCCGCAGUAAUAC
rnacentral:rRNA from 1 species